AUAAAAUAUAACACUGUUUAUUUUAAGACUGUGAUUCUGGGUCAGACAUAAAAUUUGAAAGUUUUUAUUUUUUCAGUAUCCAGUUCGGUAUAUGGAACUGGUGAGGCCAUUCUUCCUCAAAGAACGUGAAAAAGCAAGCAUAAUCUUGUGAUUACUCUUGGAGAGAGAGGUAGCACUGGGAAAAAAGAUUGAAAAUGUUUCUUAGGAGAGAAGACAGAGAUGGCUCUGGGCAGAAUUUCUGUGGUGGUGAACAUUCCCUUUCCGCAAACUGCACCAGGAGGAAGCUUUCCAGGGAUUCUCCUUGAUGUUCCCCUUGAGUAUUUGGAGAGGCUUCUGAGAAAUGCUUUGUGAAAAGGAAAGUGUGCAAAGUGCGCCUGUGAAAGUGUAAAUCCCCUCCCCCACAUCCGUGACCUACAGGAUUUUCAUCAUCUCAGGAUAAUCCACACUCAGCUUUAGCAACUCAUUGAGAGCUUCUGUCUGCAUCUUCUGACCAACUUAUUUCACUGACAUCUGUUCCAGUUGAGCAAAUUUUGGGGUUCUGUUUGUCCCUGUGACUUCAGAUCUCUGAUGAAUUCAAGAGAAGGUAUUAUUUGACCAGGGUUUUUAAUGUUCUGCUGGCAGGAACAAUGCCCUUGCUAAUAGCACUCAAUUGAUCAGGACCCUCUCACUAGCAAAUACCAUCAGCCCCCCUCCCUUCUUGGAGUUGCCUCCUUGCUGAUGCACUGACUUGACAACAACAAAUGUAAGUUGGCUAAAUUGUUACCAAAAUAUUUUGUUUUAAAUGUUAUCUAGUUAAAGCAAAGGGCAUCCUGUUUCUCAAAAAUUAUUAAUUUGAAUGAGAAAGACAAAAAUAGUUUUUGUUUUGUUUUAAUUCUGAGUCACAUAUCAAAUUAAGGCUACCCGACUACAGAUUCAACAAAAGCCAAAUCCUGUUUUAUGAUGUUUGGUAACACACUGUUAAACAACUGCUCAUUUGAUAAUGAUUGUCCUUAAAACCCUUAACACCUAAUGAUAGAAAAUUGUUGAUCUUAUACUGACCAUUAUGUAAAAAUUAUUCCUUUUUUAUACUGAUUUUAUUCCUUCAAGAAAUUUGUGCACCAUAUGUUAAGAUAAUGUCCCAGUGCACAAAGCAGUGCCCUAUAUGCCAACACAAAUGAAUUUGUCUCCAAAGAGGGGGCAAGAGAUUCUUCACAUUGGUUUCUGCUCUAAAUAAAUUUAUUUCUGAGGAAAACUGAAUCCCAUUUGAAAAACUAGCUAAUAAGUUUAACGCAAACAGGAAACAAAUGUUUGUUUCCCAUUGAUGUUAUCUCAAGGAGUUGAAUUAAUUAUAAACUAUGUAUUACUCUAUGUGCAGGGUUAUUAUUUUCUGUGUUAGGUUAUAAUAAAAGGUUCAAUAAAUUGGAAUUUCAACAAAUAAGGUUUCUAAUCUCGCCUCUGUCGCUGAGUUGCUGAGACAAAGAGUUGUACUCAAUCUUCCUUAAGAUUCAUUUUGACUCUAGACGUGAUUCUAAAUAGGUAAACUAACUAAUAAAAC
rnacentral:lncRNA from 1 species